UCCAUCCGUGGAGAGGUUCCAAACUGGAGCUUUGUGGGACUCCAGCCUUCUUCAGGGAGGAACAGGCAGAAGGAUGCUGGAGGAGACACCGCUUUCCCACGGGACACCGUGUGCUAAGAGACUACGGAAGGACCCCCUGACAAGAGGUUUACAGAGCAGCCGUUGCUCAACUGGGGAAGCAGCUACGAGUGCGGGGUCUACAAGAGUGCACACAUCCGUCCCGCGAGAUGAUGCCCUCUGCCCGUGGGCUGGUCCUACAAGCAUGCCAUCAUUUCUGGGCAUGUGACCUUGAGAGGAUUCCUUAAGCUCUCUGGGCUUCAUCUGACCAUUUGUAAGAUGCGAUCAAAGCAAUCUCACGGACGAAUGGGAAAAGAAGAUGUGGUAUACAGACACCAUGGAAUAUUACUCGGCGACCAAAAAGAAUAAAGUCUUGCCAUUUGCAA